CACCUGCGCCACAAGUGGCAGCCACAUUUAUUGGGCCUAAAGCGUCCGUAGCCGGUUCUGUAAAUUCCUUGUGAAAUCGUCAUGCUUAACGUGACGACGGGCAGGGAAAACUGCAGAACUUGGAACCGGGAGGAGUUAGAGGUAUUCUAGGGGGAGCGGUAAAAUGCUAUAAUCCCUAGAGGACCACCCGUGGCAGAGGCGUCUAACUAGAACGGAUUCGACGGUGAGGGACGAAAGCCAGGGGA
rnacentral:rRNA from 1 species